rnacentral:rRNA from 1 species
UACGGAGGGGGCGAGCGUUGUCCGGAUUUAUUGGGCGUAAAGAGCGUGUAGGCGGCCAGGUAGGUCCGUUGUGAAAACUCGAGGCUCAACCUCGAGACGUCGGCGGAAACCCUCUGGCUAGAGUCCGGAAGAGGAGAGUGGAAUUCCUGGUGUAGCGGUGAAAUGCGCAGAUAUCAGGAGGAACACCAAUGGCGAAGGCAGCGCGCUGGGACGGUACUGACACUGAGACGCGAAAGCGUGGGGAGCAAACAGG